rnacentral:rRNA from 1 species
CCAAUAGCGUAUAUUAAAGUUGUUGCAGUUAAAAAGCUCGUAGUUGAAUUUCGGGAUUAGUAGGUUGGUCGUGCCUUUGGUAUGUACUGGCUUUACUGGUUCCUCCUUCUUGAAGAACUGUAAUGUCAUUAAUUUGGUGUUGCAGGGACACAGGACUGUUACUUUGAAAAAAUUAGAGUGUUUAAAGCAGGCUAACGCCUGAAUACAUUAGCAUGGAAUAAUGAAAUAGGACGUUUGAUCCUAUUUUGUUGGUUUCUAGGAUUGACGUAAUGAUUAAUAGGGAUAGUUGGGGGCAUUAGUAUUCAAUUGUCAGAGGUGAAAUUCUUGGAUUUAUUGAAGACUGACUACUGCGAAAGCAUUUGCCAAGGAUGUUUUCAUUAAUCAAGAACGAAAGUUAGGGGAUCGAAGACGAUCAGAUACCGUCGUAGUCUUAACCAUAAACUAUGCCGACUAGGGAUCGGAUGAUGUUAAUUUUUUAAUGACUCAUUCGGCGCCUUACG